AGGAGCUAGCCGGCCCUUCACUCUGUCAGUGGCCCAUAUUAAAGCCCCAACACGUGCAGGGCCCUGCCUCUGAUAAGAUAGGGAGAGGGAAAGCGUGCGCGUGCUGUCCGCCUCCCAGCUCCCAGGGUGCCGUGGGCAGUCAGGUCUCAGGUGCAGGCAGGGAGAGUCUGUCCCAAAGGCUCCGCCUGUAGCUCUCGUGAAGGAAGACAAAGCGUGUCCUGCACAUACUUCCUGAGUGCUGAUGAAGGGCUCUUCUGAAAUUUGACUCAGUCUCGUCCACAUGGUGACUUUGUGAACCUUUGUCUUUGUCCACAGGGCUGAUUUUAAUUUGUCCUAAAUUUUUUUCCCAAAUGGUAUCAAAAUUUCCUAGCUGUUUUCACCUUCGGAUAGCUCAUGAAGAUCACAGUAUUUAUCAUUCUGUAGGGCUGUUGAUGCUGAAUCGUGUGACUGGACAUUUGCAAGAAAAGAUUGGGGUAGUAGAGUGGUAGCAUCCAUCUUGGUCGUCGGAUGCCCUUUCAGGAAAGAACGUGGGGACAUUAGUUUUUUCCCCUUAGCUCUCCUUGUCUUUCCAGCCCUCUUACUUCAUGUCCUUUAUUUUCCAUUUAAGAGGUAAUUUGCAAACUCGGCACCUUAACAACCAGUGCUACAGGCUCCGUGCCAAGCUCCAUGUUAACACAGUGCCCAGGAACAAGAAAAAAAAUUCUCGAUUGUUUCCGUUUAUGAGAUUAUCCAGGCCCACAGUGCUUCAGAAGAAAUUGCUGGGACAGGGUGGAGGAUUUGAAGUUAUUAUUUACUAAUACCCAGCGUCUAUGUAGUGUUUAUGUUCCUUUUGCCUAGAUCGCCUCCUCCUUAGACCAGCCCACCCGUCACCCAGCUCGGCAAGCGGGGCACACGCAGGUUUCAAGUGCCCCAUUUGUUCCAAGUCUGUGGCUUCUGAUGAGAUGGAAAUGCACUUUAUAAUGUGUCUGAGCAAACCUCGCCUCUCCUACAACGAUCCAGACUCCAGUGGACUCUCGGAGGUUUCCAUUAGCGUGUCCCAGUGGAGACGCCUGGUCAUCACCUGCCACUUGAGCAGCUGCCCUGGUCAGCGCAUGCCAUCCCUCCCUCCUUGCCCUCAUGGCUAGUGCAGGCCCUGAGUCCUUCCCUCCAGCGCUGCUGCAUCCUCCUCCAGAGCGGGCUCCCCGUCUCUGAGCUUUGCCAGCCCAUUCUCCGGUACUCAGCAGAGACCAGCUGCAAUCAGGAUGCACUUCCAGAGCCUCGAAGUGAACCAGAUGAAGCCCGGGCACCACAGCAGAACACGAGUUCAUCCUGGGGGUGUCAUUCUCACCCCCCUGCCCCACUGUGGCCCCACGGCUCUCUGCUCACACCAUAGCAAACUUCCUGCUGUUCCCAGUGCACAGAUACUGUUCCCUUUGCCUGAAGUCCUUCCCUGAACAGUCCCCACCCUGAUAGGGCAUCAGCCAUACCCUCAUUCCUGGACUUGUAUGCAUCGUAAGGCUUCCUAGAAAUUGGUGUGCUGUUCAUUUCCGUUUUCUUGUCCGCCUCCCCUGUGAGACUAUGACUUCAAUCCUGAGAUUGUGGCUUCUUUACGGAGUUGCCGGCACCAGAAUGUCACAGAAAUUCAAUAAGGGGCUGCUUGCCCAGCCACGGUGCUCCCCCUAUUUUUCUCAGGCUUUUCCAGCUGUGGCUGUGCAAGGGGCCUGUGGUGUGCAGUAGCUUCCUUCCAUUCUUUUUUUUGUGAGGGACCUUUUUUUCUUCUGUUUUAAACUGAGUCAUAGUAGCAUUUAGGACCUUCCCAAUGCUGUGCUACCACCAUCUCCGUCUAGUUACUAAUUUUCAAAAGAAAACCCCCCCCCGUGAUUGUACUUUUAUCUAAAAUAGAGUCCAUCUCAAAGAGCCAGAGGGUAGAAUGGUAUGCACCAGGGGCCAAGGGGACAGGGAAAUGGGGAGUUGCUAUUCGAGGGGUGUAGAGUUUCAGUCACGCCAGAAGAGUAAGUUCUGGAGACCUGGCGCCCAGCUUUGUGCCUGCAGUUGGCAAUACUGUCCUGCACACUUAAAAAUCUGUCAAGAGGGUAGAUCUCCUCUUAAGUGUUCUUACCACCAGAAAAGGGGAAGAAGAAGACCCCUUACUCAUAAAACAGUCCCCCCGCCCCCAAUCCCUCCUGCCCCCAAGCUCCGGGCCUACUUCUUGUCCGGAUUGGCCUGUGCUGCACAUUUCAUAGAAAGGAGUUACUGAGUAGAUGACUUUUUGCAUCUGCUUCCUUCACUUCGCCUGAUGUUCUCCAGGUCCCUCCACACCGCAGCCCGAGUCGGCGCUCCGCCCCUUUCCCAUGGCUGAGUGACACUCCGUUGCAGGGAGAGAUCCCAUUUGUUAAUCCAGUUCUCGGCUGGGGGCACUGGGGUUGUUCCCACCUGUCGGCUGUUGCGCACAUGCUCGCCCGAGCAGCCGCUGCAGUUCCGGCCGCGCGCCCCAUCACCGUGCUUUGCCAAACCGGAACUCCGUGCACCUGGGCCGCAUGUAUGUUUUGGGGACGGUCGGCUCAGGAGGCAGCUGGCCUCUGCUACAGGCCUAUCCCCUCCUGAGCCCAUUUUGCCCUCCAUCCCCCGGCCGCUUCUUUGGUGAUUCAUUCCACUCUGUCUUCAGAUAAUUGAUGUGCCGUGUGCAUGUCUUG